CGGGUAGUACUGUACAUUAACUUUCUUGUAAAAGAACAACCCUAACAUUAAAAUCUCCAUAAAUGAUGAACUGCUAUUUUUUAAGACAACAUCCCAUGGAAGAUUUAACUGAUGUUUUAAAGUUGGAAAGUUUCUGUUGCUUGUUUGGUUGGUUAACGUUGUUUCUGUCAUAAGUAUUAUCAGUCCCUCAAUCUGAUGUUGACUGCUGUGAAAGUUCAGUUGUUGUUGACAGAAAGGUU
rnacentral:lncRNA from 1 species